rnacentral:rRNA from 1 species
UACGUAGGGUGCGAGCGUUAAUCGGAAUUACUGGGCGUAAAGCGUGCGCAGGCGGUUCGUUAAGUCAGAUGUGAAAGCCCCGGGCUCAACCUGGGAACUGCAUUUGAAACUGGCGGGCUUGAGUGCGGCAGAGGGGGGUGGAAUUCCGCGUGUAGCAGUGAAAUGCGUAGAGAUGCGGAGGAACACCGAUGGCGAAGGCAGCCCCCUGGGCCGACACUGACGCUCAGGCACGAAAGCGUGGGGAGCGAACAGG